rnacentral:rRNA from 1 species
GAUGAACGCUGGCGGCGUGCCUAAUACAUGCAAGUCGAGCGAACGGACGAGAAGCUUGCUUCUCUGAUGUUAGCGGCGGACGGGUGAGUAACACGUGGAUAACCUACCUAUAAGACUGGGAUAACUUCGGGAAAUCGGAGCUAAUACCGGAUAAUAUUUUGAACCGCAUGGUUCAAAAGUGAAAGACGGUCUUGCUGUCACUUAUAGAUGGAUCCGCGCUGCAUUAGCUAGUUGGUAAGGUAACGGCUUACCAAGGCAACGAUGCAUAGCCGGCCUGAGAGGGUGAUCGGCCACACUGGAACUGAGACACGGUCCAGACUCCUACGGGAGGCAGCAGUGGGGAAUCUUCCGCAAUGGGCGAAAGCCUGACGGAGCAACGCCGCGUGAGUGAUGAAGGUCUUCGGAUCGUAAAACUCUGUUAUUAGGGAAGAACAGAUGUGUGAGUAACUGUGCACAUCUUGACGUUACCUAAACAGAAAGCCACGGCUAACUUCGUG